GUAAAAAAGAUUUAUCUUGUUGAGCAUUUUAAACAUCAAAUAACAGGCAGUAUAAGUUACCAUCUGAUAGUGAUUGCUUGCGUGUUUUGUUUUGCCACAUGCGUUAAACUAGACUUUAAUACAAGCGCAACAUUGAUUAUUAGGUAAUGUUUAAUAUUCUGGAAAAAGAUCAAGGAUUCCUACACAAGAACCUCAUAAAUGUAAGCUGUAACUGAAAGGCUUUAAUACGAAGUAUUUAGUAAGUC